CAUACCUAUUCGAAGGGAUAGGGUCGGUUCGGCCGGGUUUCACACAGGUGUUGCAUGGCUGUCGUCAGCUCGUGUCGUGAGAUGUUGGGUUAAGUCCCGCAACGAGCGCAACCCUCAUCCUUAGUUACCAUCAGGUAAUGCUGGGGACUUUGAGGAAACUGCCAGUGAUAAACUGGAGGAAGGUGGGGAUGAUGUCAAGUCAUCAUGGCCCUUAUGGAGUGGGCUACACACGUGCUACAAUGGUGGCUACAAUGGGCUGCAAAGUCGCGAGGCUAAGCCAAUCCCUUAAAAGCCAUCUCAGUUCGGAUUGUACUCUGCAACUCGAGUGCAUGAAGUUGGAAUCGCUAGUAAUCGUGGAUCAGCACGCCACGGUGAAUACGUUCUCGGGUCUUGUACACACUGCCCGUCACGCCAUGGGAAUUGGUUUCACUCGAAGCU
rnacentral:rRNA from 1 species